rnacentral:rRNA from 1 species
GACGAACGCUGGCGGCGUGCUUAACACAUGCAAGUCGAACGGAAAGGCCCUGCUUGCAGGGUACUCGAGUGGCGAACGGGUGAGUAACACGUGGGUGAUCUGCCCUGCACUUCGGGAUAAGCCUGGGAAACUGGGUCUAAUACCGGAUAGGAGCCAUUUUUAGUGUGAUGGUUGGAAAGUUUUUUCGGUGUAGGAUGAGCUCGCGGCCUAUCAGCUUGUUGGUGGGGUAAUGGCCUACCAAGGCGGCGACGGGUAGCCGGCCUGGGAGGGUGGACGGCCACAGUGGGACUGAGACUCGGCCCAGACCCAUACGGGAGGGAGCAGUGGGGAAUAGUGCACAAUGGGCGUAAGCCUGAUGCAGCGACGGCGAGUGGGGGAUGACGGCCUUCGGGUUGUAAAUCCCUUUCGCUAGGGACGAAGCUGUUUGUGACGGUACCUAGAUAAGAAGCACCGGCUAACUACGUG